UAGCCUUUUACUGCAGAGAACCCCAGGUGGAUUUUUUUCCCCUCAAGUAAGUGUGUUAAUCUCAUAAGAGCAGACAUUAUGCAGUUAGAGCAAGACCUGCCAAAGAUGGGGUACAAUGAUGUUAUGGCAGGCCUAUGCAAUAUAUGAUCAUAUAAUGUAACUAUGCCCCCAUUAUUUUUGCCUAGAUUAGGUGUUUUUAAAUAUAAAAAACUAAUAAUAUCUGUCAACAUUUAGUGGUAAGUGAGUGCGCUAGAUCUUGUGUAUUGUAGAAAUUGG